CACUAAGAAGCUAACAAGGAGAUAGCGUUAGCCUUUUAAGCUAAAGAUCGGUGGACUACCGCCCACCCCUAGUGA
rnacentral:tRNA from 1 species